rnacentral:lncRNA from 1 species
CAGAAGUUAGAAGAUAGUUUUAAAGGAAAAAUGCAAAUGAAAUGGUCAAGGCUGAAAAAUUGUUCUCAAAACGUUUCCAAAAUAGCCCUUACUAUCUUGAGACGGAAUGCAGCUCACCUUUGAUCUCAUGUCAAAACAACACAGAAUAACACCAUGAACUUUUUCCAUCUAUCACUCUCAAGAUCAAGGAACCCGGCAUUUGUGUUUGUCCCUCUAGUUGUGGCAUGUGGGACGCUGCCUCAGCGUGGUCUGAUGAGCAGUGCCAUGUCCGCGCCCAGGAUUCGAACCAACGAAACACUGAGCCGCCUGCAGCGGAGCGCACGAACUUAACCACUCGGCCACAGGGCCAGCCCCUCCCAAAAUGCUUUAAUUUAAGUUAAUAAAUGUUUAAUAAAUAUCAAAUGUGUAGUAUUUAUAU